rnacentral:rRNA from 1 species
GCCAGACUCCUACGGGAGGCAGCAGUGGGGAAUAUUGCACAAUGGGGGAAACCCUGAUGCAGCGACGCCGCGUGAGUGAAGAAGUAAUUCGUUAUAUAAAGCUCUAUCAGCAGGGAAGAAAAUGACGGUACCUGAGUAAGAAGCCCCGGCUAACUACGUGCCAGCAGCCGCGGUAAUACGUAGGGGGCAAGCGUUAUCCGGAUUUACUGGGUGUAAAGGGAGCGUAGACGGCAGUGCAAGUCUGGAGUGAAAGGCGGGGGCUCAACCCCCGGACUGCUCUGGAAACUGUCCGGCUGGAGUGCAGGAGAGGCAGGCGGAAUUCCUAGUGUAGCGGUGAAAUGCGUAGAUAUUAGGAGGAACACCGGUGGCGAAGGCGGCCUGCUGGACUGUAACUGACGUUGAGGCUCGAAAGCGUGGGGAGCAAACAGGAUUAGAUACCCCGGUAAC